UACGUAGGGGCAAGCGUUGUCCGGAAUCAUUGGGCGUAAAGAGCGUGUAGGCGGUCCGGUAAGUCGGCUGUGAAAGUCCAGGGCUCAACCCUCGGAUGCCGGUGGAUACUGUCGGCUUGAGUACGGAAGAGGCGAGUGGAAUUCCUGGUGGUAGCGGUGAAAUGCGCAGAUAUCAGGAGGAACACCAAUGCGAAGGCAGCUCGCUGGGACGUUACUGACGCUGAGACGCGAAAGCGUGGGGAGCAAACAGG
rnacentral:rRNA from 1 species